rnacentral:lncRNA from 1 species
GUGUGGGCCCCGCUUUCCCCCAGCGCUGGAGACUCCGAGCCCGGCCGGUCCCACAUUCCACGCGAGCUGAAUUCCCGCCCGCAUCCCGCCCGGGCAGCAGGGAUUGCCGGCUCCGGGAGGCGCUCGGGCUCCGAGAAGCGGCUCAGCCCCGCGCCCCUCCCUCCUCAGUACCGCUGCCGGCGGACCAGGAUUCCCGCGGGUCCUGGCGGCUGCGAGCGCGAGGCGGCGCGGAUUCGCGGCUCGGUUCCGGCGCGACUGCUCACCGCGCCCGCCUCGCCUCCCGCGGCUGCCAGCGUGCACUGGGCGCUCCUCGGCGCGUCUGCCCGGCCCGUCUCGGCUUUCCUUCUCCUUCCUCUAGUCCCAGCGUCACAACUCCGCCGACCUCCUCUGCCCUGAGAGCGCGUCCGGUGCGGGCGGAGUCGGACGGACUCUGGCUUCACGCCUCGCGCGGGCACACCUUCUCCCGGGCACUGAGGCCCAGUUAUUAGGGGAGGCAGAGUCCUUCUGGAGUUUGACCCUUGGAUUCCAUCCAGAGCAGCCUCCAAAAUGACACCUUUGAAGUUGUGUAUCGAGCUGGGGGAUGUAAAGGGAGGAGAAGAAAGAAGAUGAAGAGAUACCAGCCAGCCUUAAGGAGUGGACAUCCUGCCUGGUGAAACUGAACAAGACACCUACCGCAUAUGGAGUUUCGCUCUGUCGCCCAGGCUGGAGUGCAGUGGUGCCAUCUCGGCUCACCGCAACCUCCACCUCCAGGUUCAAGUGAUUCUCCUGCCUCAGCCUCUCAAGUAGCUGGGAUUACAGUAGAGUGCUGGAGUGGGUUCC